AGUUGAUCAUGGCUCGAACGAACGCUGGCGGCGCGCUUAACACAUGCAAGUCGAACGAGAAGGCGUAGCAAUACGCUUGUAAAGUGGCGAACGGGUGAGUAACACAUGGGUGACCUACCCUUAAGUGGGGGAUAACCAGCCGAAAGGUUGGCUAAUACCGCAUACGGUUCCGGUCCUGCGGGGUCGGAAGGAAAGCUGCCCUGUGAGGGUGGCGCUUUUGGAUGGGCUCAUGUCCUAUCAGCUUGUUGGCGGGGUAACGGCCCACCAAGGCUUCGACGGGUAGCUGGUCUGAGAGGACGAUCAGCCACACUGGCACUGCGACACGGGCCAGACUCCUACGGGAGGCAGCAGUGAGGAAUAUUGCGCAAUGGGCGAAAGCCUGACGCAGCGACGCCGCGUGGGGGAUGAAGGUCUUCGGAUUGUAAACCCCUUUCGGGAGGGAAGAUGGUUGCAUACCAAUGCAACGGACGGUACCUCCAGAAGCAGCCACGGCUAACUUCGUGCCAGCAGCCGCGGUAAUACGAAGGUGGCAAGCGUUGUUCGGAUUUACUGGGCGUACAGGGAGCGUAGGUGGUUAGGUAAGCCCUUCGGGAAAUCUUCGGGCUUAACCCGGAAAGGUCGGAGGGGACUGCCUGGCUAGAGGACGGGAGAGGAGCGCGGAAUUCCGGUGUAGCGGUG
rnacentral:rRNA from 1 species